CUACGGGCCGCUGCAGUGAGGAAUAUUGCACAAUGGGGGGAACCCUGAUGCAGCAACGCCGCGUGGAGGAUGACGCAUUUCGGUGUGUAAACUCCUUUUAUAUGUCAAGAAAAUGACGGUAGCAUAUGAAUAAGCACCGGCUAACUCCGUGCCAGCAGCCGCGGUAAUACGGAGGGUGCAAGCGUUACUCGGAAUCGCUGGGCGUAAAGGACGCGUAGGCGGGUUGGAAAGUCAGGUGUGAAAUCCUACAGCUUAACUGUAGAACUGCACUUGAAACUUCUAAUCCAGAGUAUGGGAGGGGGAGAUGGAAUUAGUGGUGUAGGGGUAAAAUCCGUAGAUAUCACUAGGAAUACCUAAAGCGAAGGCGAUCUCCUGGAACAUUACUGACGCUAAGGCGUGAAAGCGUGGGGAGCAAACAGGAUUAGAUACCCCGGUAGUC
rnacentral:rRNA from 1 species